rnacentral:rRNA from 1 species
UACGGAGGGUGCGAGCGUUGUUCGGAAUUAUUGGGCGUAAAGCGCGUGUAGGCGGUCUUUUAAGUCUGAUGUGAAAGCCCCGGGCUCAACCUGGGAAGUGCAUUGGAAACUGGAAGACUUGAGUACGGGAGAGGGCAGUGGAAUUCCUAGUGUAGGAGUGAAAUCCGUAGAUAUUAGGAGGAACACCGGUGGCGAAGGCGGCUGCCUGGACCGAUACUGACGCUGAGACGCGAAAGCGUGGGGAGCAAACAGG